rnacentral:rRNA from 1 species
AAAACACAGGGACACUUUUGAAGGGUUCAGCCGGGCGAUGGUUGCCCCGGUCGUAAGGGACUGCAAAUGAGCGGGAAGUGAAUUUGGAAGAAGGCGAGAAAAGCUGUGUGAAUAGAAGAUAGAGCCCGUACCGCAAACCGACACAGGUAGAUAGGAAGAAGAUUCUAAGGCCAACGGGAGAAGGGUUGUUAAGGAACUCGGCAAGUUGACCCCGUAACUUAGGGAGAAGGGGUGCUCUUUAAGGAGAGCCGCAGAGAAUAGGCCCAAGCGACUGUUUAGCAAAAACACAGCUCUAUGCUAAAUCGAAAGAUGACGUAUAUGGGGUGACACCUGCCCGGUGCCGGAAGGUUAAGAGGAGGAGUGAGAGCUCUGAAUUGAAGCCCCGGUAAACGGCGGCCGUAACUAUAACGGUCCUAAGGUAGCGAAAUUCCUUGUCAGGUAAGUUCUGACCCGCACGAAUGGUGUAACGAUUUGGGCACUGUCUCAACAACCUGCCCGGCGAAAUUGUAGUACCGGUGAAGAUGCCGGUUACCCGCGACUAGACGGAAAGACCCCAUGGAGCUUUACUGCAGCUUAAUAUUGAAUUUCGGUAUUUCAUGUACAGGAUAGGUGGGAGACAGGGAACCAUAGGCGUCAGCUUAUGGGGAGUCGACCUUGGGAUACCACUCUUGAGGUGCUGGAAUUCUAACCUGUGGCUCUGAAUCGAGUCAGGGGACAUUGUUAGGCGGGCAGUUUGACUGGGGCGGUCGCCUCCAAAAAGGUAACGGAGGCGCUCAAAGGUUCGCUCAGCAUGGAUGGAAACCAUGCUUUUGAGAGUAAACGCAAAAGCGAGCCUAACUGCGAGACUGACGGGUCGAGCAGUAACGAAAGUUGGAGUUAGUGAUCCGGCGGUAUGUGAGUGGAAAUGCCGUCGCUCAACGGAUAAAAGCUACCCUGGGGAUAACAGGCUGAUCUCCCCCAAGAGUCCACAUCGACGGGGAGGUUUGGCACCUCGAUGUCGGCUCAUCGCAUCCUGGGGCUGAAUUCGGUCCCAAGGGUUUGGCUGUUCGCCAAUUAAAGCGGUACGCGAGCUGGGUUCAGAACGUCGAGAGACAGUUCGGUCCCUAUCUGUCGUGGGCGUAGGAUAUUUGAAAGGAGCUGUCCCUAGUACGAGAGGACCGGGAUGGACGCACCGCUGGUGCACCAGUUGUCAUGCCAAUGGCACAGCUGGGCAGCUAUGUGCGGAACGGAUAAACGCUGAAGGCAUCUAAGCGUGAAGCCGACCUUAAGAUAAGAUAUCCCUUCGUAAGAGUAAGACCUCUCAUAGACUAUGAGUUUGAUAGGCCUAAGGUGUAAGCACAGUGAUGUGUUCAGCCUGCAGGUACUAAUCGGUCGAGGGCUUUUCCG